GGGGCAUUAACUCAGUUGGUUAGAGUAGCAGACUCUUAAUCUGAAUGUCGUAGGUUCGAAUCCUACAUGCCCCACCA
rnacentral:tRNA from 5 species